rnacentral:rRNA from 1 species
UACAGAGGUCCCGAGCGUUGUUCGGAUUUACUGGGCGUAAAGGGCGCGUAGGCGGCCGUGCGUGUCGGAUGUGAAAUCUCCGGGCUCAACCCGGAAAGUGCGUCCGAAACUGCAUGGCUAGAGUGCGGGAGGGGGAAUCGGAAUGCAAGGUGUAGCGGUGAAAUGCGUUGAUAUCUUGCAGAACACCGGAAGCGAAGGCGGAUUCCUGGAACGCAACUGACGCUCAGGCGCGAAAGCUAGGGGAGCAAAC